rnacentral:rRNA from 1 species
AGCAAGCACCGGCUAACUCCGUGCCAGCAGCCGCGGUAAUACGGAGGGUGCAAGCGUUACUCGGAAUCACUGGGCGUAAAGGACGCGUAGGCGGGAUGUCAAGUCUGAUGUGAAAUCCUAUGGCUCAACCAUAGAACUGCAUUGGAAACUGACAACCUAGAGUAUGGGAGGGGGAGAUGGAAUUAGUGGUGUAGGGGUAAAAUCCGUGGAUAUCACUAGGAAUACCGAAAGCGAAGGCGAUCUCCUGGAACAUAACUGACGCUAAGGCGUGAAAGCGUGGGGAGCAAACGGGAUUAGAUACCCCGGUAGUCCACGCCCUAAACGAUGAACACUAGUCGUCGGGAUGCUUGUCAUCUCGGUGAUGCACUUAACAGAUUAAGUGUUCCGCCUGGGGAGUACGGUCGCAAGAUUAAAACUCAAAGGAAUAGACGGGGACCCGCACAAGUGGUGGAGCAUGUGGUUUAAUUCGAAGAUACGCGAAGAACCUUACCUAGCCUUGACAUUGAUUGAACGGACCAGAGAUGGACCGGUGCCCUUCGGGGAACAUGAAAACAGGUGCUGCACGGCUGUCGUCAGCUCGUGUCGUGAGAUGUUGGGUUAAGUCCCGCAACGAGCGCAACCCUCGUCUUUAGUUGCCAGCAGGUUAAGCUGGGCACUCUAAAGAGACUGCCUUCGCAAGGAGGAGGAAGGUGAGGACGACGUCAAGUCAUCAUGGCCCUUAUGGCUAGGGCUACACACGCGCUACAAUGGGGCGUACAGAGUGUUGCGAUACCGCGAGGUGGAGCUAAUCACUUAAAGCGUCUCUCAGUUCGGAUUGAAGUCUGCAACUCGACUUCAUGAAGCUGGAAUCACUAGUAAUCGUAGAUCAGCAAUGCUACGG